rnacentral:rRNA from 1 species
UGGCUCAGGAUGAACGCUGGCGGCGUGCCUAACACAUGCAAGUCGAACGGAACUUCUUUGACAGAAUUCUUCGGAAGGAAGUUGAUUAAGUUUAGUGGCGGACGGGUGAGUAACGCGUGAGUAACCUGCCUUUGAGAGGGGAAUAACUUCCCGAAAGGGAUGCUAAUACCGCAUGAUGCAUAUUUAUCGCAUGGUAGAUGUGCCAAAGAUUUAUCGCUCAAAGAUGGACUCGCGUCCGAUUAGCCAGUUGGCGGGGUAACGGCCCACCAAAGCGACGAUCGGUAGCCGGACUGAGAGGUUGAACGGCCACAUUGGGACUGAGACACGGCCCAGACUCCUACGGGAGGCAGCAGUGGGGGAUAUUGCGCAAUGGGGGAAACCCUGACGCAGCAACGCCGCGUGAAGGAUGAAGGUUUUCGGAUUGUAAACUUCUUUUAUUUAGGACGAACAAUGACGGUACUAAAUGAAUAAGCUCCGGCUAACUACGUGCCAGCAGCCGCGGUAAUACGUAGGGAGCAAGCGUUAUCCGGAUUUACUGGGUGUAAAGGGUGCGUAGGCGGCUUGGUAAGUCAGAUGUGAAAUGUAUAGGCUCAACCCAUGCACUGCAUUUGAAACUAUUGAGCUUGAGUGAAGUAGAGGUAGGCGGAAUUCCCUGUGUAGCGGUUAAAUGCGUAGAGAUAGGGAGGAACACCAGUGGCGAAGGCGGCCUACUGGGCUUUAACUGACGCUGAGGCACGAAAGCGUGGGUAGCAAACAGGAUUAGAUACCCUGGUAGUCCACGCUGUAAACGAUGAUUACUAGGUGUGGGGGGUCUGACCCCUUCCGAAAGGGAGUUAACACAAUAAGUAAUCCACCUGGGGAGUAC